GCUAGACUGUUGUUUUAUCUAGAUUCAGUCAAGAGGUUGACUUCGUAGAGAUGGUCCGCAUCCGGACAUGGUGUGUCUCAUCCCCGGGAAAUAAACCUUUAAUGGGUAAAAAUACCGACACUUAUUUACGGAAACACAAUUAUUGGUUUAUUAACAUGGAAAGUUGAGACGAAGAUUUUCUCAACUUUAUCAAGCAAAUGGAACACACCCAGGUAUGAUGUCAAUUAUUUAAAGAAGAGACCCGGGAACAGGUUGGAAGGUGUUUACGUAUACAAAAACAUUUAGCAGUAAUUGCUGAGUAAUUUGCAAGGCAGUAGAGAGUUUGAUAAGUUAUCGACUUUUGGAAAUUGAGUCAAACAGGAAGCGGAAAUUGGAUAAGUCUGGGUUUUAAUGACAAUCACUCCCACUAUUGAAAUUUCCAGAAUUCUAAUUAGGCCCAAUAUAUAGUCGUAUUUUCUGAUUGUUGCCUAUUUAAUAUGAAUUCAAAUAUUAUUGUAUUAAACAGAAUAUGCUACCAGCAUCGCUAAGGUCAGAUACAAGAUAUUUAGGGAUGCCCACUUGAAAGCUAACUGAGAAGAAAUUGGAGAAUAUGAAAUAUAUUAAUCUAGCGUUUCAUGCAGUGAUGAAGAUUCUUAGAAGAAGGUUAUUUUUGUUUUUUUUGUGUAGUUUAAAGGUGGGGCUUACAUUAAUGCGAUACCCUAGAAUCCUUGUUAUAGUUAAUUUAUAAUGAAUAAUUAAUUUAAUUUGUGAAAUACAACAGAGAGUUACAUACAUUUUAAUCAUGAAACUGCUUUUAACUGUUUUCGUUAUCUACCUUAUUAUUAAUUUGAUGUCCUUAUAUGGGGUUUUGCACGUUGGACUGAUAUAACAUCUAUUUUAUUAGAUCAUCAAUGACUCAUCGUUUGUUUUAUAAAGAGACACGUUUAAUUUUAUUUAUAAACCUGUUUUAGCCGUGAUUCAUCAAGUACAUAACAUCAUCAUGGUUCAUUAAUUCAACUCUUAUUGAAAAAAAAACCCCAAAACACAACACCUUAAUUUGUUCGAUUUUUUUAUUUCGGUCUUCUCCAUCUUUAACAUAUAUAUUUUUUAAUAUGAUCUA